rnacentral:sRNA from 1 species
UCGUCCGAGAGGGCCCACACGCUCAGAAU